AUUGAACGCUAGCGGGAUGCCUUACACAUGCAAGUCGAACGGAGUGGCGAACGGGUGAGUAAUGUAUCGGAACGUGCCCAGUAGCGGGGGAUAACUACGCGAAAGCGUAGCUAAUACCGCACACUAUUGGUGCGGCCGAUAUGGGAUUAGCUAGUUGGUGGGGUAAAGGCUCACCAAGGCGACGAUCCGUAGCUGGUUUGAGAGGACGACCAGCCACACUGGGACUGAGACACGGCCCAGACUCCUACGGGAGGCAGCAGUGGGGAAUUUUGGACAAUGGGGGAAACCCUGAUCCAGCCAUGCCGCGUGUGCGAUGAAGGCCUUCGGGUUGUAAAGCACUUUUAGCGGGGAGGCGGUACCUGCAGAAUAAGCACCGGCUAACUACGUGCCAGCAGCCGCGGUAAUUC
rnacentral:rRNA from 1 species